CUCCCAAAGUGCUGGGAUUCCAGGCCACUGUGCCUGGCCGAAACCUUUAAUUGAACAGGCUGCCUCAAGUGUGGGGCUAGAAAGCAGGAGCUUGGGGUCUGGUCCUGCUCCCCCACCCUCUUGGACCUGUCACUGCCUCUCCCUGGUCCUCCUUGUGAAUGGGACACACAGCAGGAGGAGAGGCUCCCACAAGGCAAGGUUCAUGAGCCACAAGACUCUGUGAAGUCCAGCAUCCUCACUGGAGUGGACAACAGAUUUGGCUAUAAGCUUCCUGGCAGCCACUGGGAAGAAAGAAACUAUCACACACUUUUUCUUUAAGGCUAACUGGCUUCUCAGGAAAUCCUUCCCUCUUCCUCACAGAAAAACCACAGAAAUUUCUCCUGUACAUUCUCAUAGAACAAUGAUGUGCCAGGAAUGGCAGCUAUUACAGGAGACAGCAACAGCACACGGCGGCAACCUCACGGACAGAGAGCAGGCACAGUCUGAGCCCUGAGGUCACCCUCAGUCCCCUACUUGGACACAGUGGCUGUGAUCCUGAAGACACCCUCUUAAGACACAGAACAUGCCCUGUACGUGACUGCUGUUUAUGAGACUGGUGACCAAGAGGGUAAGAGGCCCCACCUGUGCCAGGGGCCCUGGACAGGCAGAGAUUUUGUCUUCAGCUUCAAAAACAGACGUCCCAGCCAGCUUCCCUGCUGGAACUUUGAUCACUGAUGUUUCAGAACCAGACAUCAUGAACAUCCACAUCCCCAAGUAAAUAAGUGACAGGCCUGUUAUUAAUAAUUCUCUAUUUAUUAAAAAGGGUCCUACAGCUUUACAGCCACAGCACCGGACACGGCCCUGGACAGCGACGGCGAGCCCGGCCAGGGGCCGCUUUGCAACUUCAAUGCCAAGCUCACGUCUGGCUGCGACCGUGGCAGGCUGUGGCAUCCCCGACAGCGGCCGGUGGCGGAGGUAUGGGGGCGGGUGGCACCGCUCACUCGAGAUUCACAGAACAUGGCAAGCCCGCCUGACUGGCAUGGCAGUGAAUCGUCCUGUACAGCUUCAUUUC
rnacentral:lncRNA from 1 species